rnacentral:lncRNA from 1 species
GGAGUCGACAAUAACAAACCAAGCCGCGGCGGUGUCCGCGGCCCUGCCGAGCCCUCGGCGUUGCCUCAGAAUCCCCCAGUCGCCUGGGCCCCUCGGCUCUGACAGGCCGCGGCCUUCUGUCCCCCGGCCCCAGACCCAGAGCCGAGGGGCCUGCUCGCGUCCUUGUCCGCCCGGACCCCUCCCUGCCUCCUAGAGUUCGGGGCCGCGGCGGGCGGGCGCCCGGGACGCCGGCGGUUGUGUCGGCUUAGCGGUGCCGAAUGGGCGGUUGGUAACCGCUGCCGAGGACUAGGCGGCGGCGGAAGAUGGUGCCGGGGGUCGCUGGCUCUGCUGCUGCCGCCGGCGAAGGAGGAGGCGUUGCCGGUUUUCUGAGUUUAACCAGUAAUGCCAUUCAGUUGCCAAUCUCAAGCAAAGCAAACAUAAGCCAGUUUUAAUCUACUUUUUAAGAAAAGUGGUAGUCCUUUUCACAGUGCCUGACGUAACUGUAUCAGAGGGUGAGGUAUAAGCUCACAGAAUUCAGAUAAAUCAUCAUGAAGUUAUAUGUAUUUCUGGUUAACACUGGAACUACUCUAACAUUUGACACUGAACUUACAGUGCAAACUGUGGCAGACCUUAAGCAUGCCAUUCAAAGCAAAUACAAGAUUGCUAUUCAACACCAGGUGCUGGUGGUCAAUGGAGGAGAAUGCAUGGCUGCAGAUCGAAGAGUGUGUACCUACAGUGCUGGGACGGAUACAAAUCCAAUUUUUCUUUUUAACAAAGAAAUGAUCUUAUGUGAUCGUCCACCUGCUAUUCCUAAAACUACCUUUUCGACAGAAAAUGACAUGGAAAUAAAAGUUGAAGAAUCUCUUAUGAUGCCUGCAGUUUUUCAUACUGUUGCUUCAAGGACACAGCUUGCAUUGGAAAUGUAUGAAGUUGCCAAGAAACUUUGUUCUUUUUGUGAAGGUCUUGUACAUGAUGAACAUCUUCAACACCAAGGCUGGGCUGCAAUCAUGGCCAACCUGGAGGACUGUUCAAAUUCAUACCAAAAGCUACUUUUCAAGUUUGAAAGUAUUUAUUCAAAUUAUCUGCAGUCCAUAGAAGACAUCAAGUUAAAACUUACUCAUUUAGGAACUGCAGUUUCAGUAAUGGCCAAGAUUCCACUGUUGGAGUGCCUAACCAGACAUAGUUACAGAGAAUGUUUGGGAAGACUGGAUUCUUUACCUGAACAUGAAGACUCAGAAAAAGCUGAGAUGAAAAGAUCCACUGAACUGGUGCUCUCUCCUGAUAUGCCUAGAACAACUAACGAAUCUUUGUUAACCUCAUUUCCCAAGUCAGUGGAACAUGUGUCCCCAGAUACCGCAGAUGCUGAAAGUGGCAAAGAAAUUAGGGAAUCUUGUCAAAGUACUGUUCAUCAGCAAGAUGAAACUACGAUUGACACUAAAGAUGGUGAUCUGCCCUUUUU